rnacentral:rRNA from 1 species
UGCGAUCAUACCAGCACUAAAGCACCGGAUCCCAUCAGAACUCCGAAGUUAAGCGUGCUUGGGCGAGAGUAGUACUAGGAUGGGUGACCCGUGCUUGGGCGAGAGUAGUAC